rnacentral:misc_RNA from 1 species
UUUCCGUAGGUGAACCUGCGGAAGGAUCAUUAUCGAAAAGCAAUCCGGGGGGGAGGCCACCGAGCGAAGUUUGGUAGAUCGUAGGGACUGUCGCUGGCCUUUGGAAACGAAGGCAUGUGCACGUUCCGAGUUCUCCUUAGUCCUCCUUUGCCUUUCCUUUGGAAGACCCUUUCUUCACACCCGUGCACACAUUGUAGGUUUCCGCGAGGGGAUCUAUGUCUUCACAAAACUCUACGUAUGUCCAGGAAUGUAUCUAAAGCGUCGAACGGCUCGGCUCCAUGCCCGGUCGCCGACGGUAAAGAACCAUAAUACAACUUUCAGCAACGGAUCUCUUGGCUCUC